UACGAAGGGGGCUAGCGUUGUUCGGAAUUACUGGGCGUAAAGCGCAUGUAGGCGGAUAUUUAAGUCAGGGGUGAAAUCCCGCAGCUCAACUGCGGAACUGCCUUUGAUACUGGGUAUCUUGAGUAUGGAAGAGGUGAGUGGAAUUCCGAGUGUAGAGGUGAAAUUCGUAGAUAUUCGGAGGAACACCAGUGGCGAAGGCGGCUCACUGGUCCAUUACUGACGCUGAGGUGCGAAAGCGUGGGGAGCGAACCGG
rnacentral:rRNA from 1 species